rnacentral:lncRNA from 1 species
ACUUUUAACUUGGGUCAUUUAAGUGCAAGUGCCUUGUUUUCGCCAUUUUGCCAAGGACAUGGGGCUCAAGUUUGGGUGUGCACCUGGCUUGCAGCAGAACUGGCUGGGAUGGCUUCAUAACUUCCCUUCUAACAAUAUAACAAUAUGCUUCUGUAAAUUUUCACACUGAAUUGGACAAGAAUCAGAAUAUCCUGUUUUGAACAUCUGCACAGAUUGACAAACAAAAAUGGAACAUCAAGACUGACUGGAAAUGGUGAUGUGAAAUUCAUUAAAUGCUCUUGCAAUUGCCAGAGGUGCCAAGACUGAGGCUCAGAGAAAUGAAAUAACAUGCCAAAGGUCACAGUGUCUAGUGGAGCUGGGGCCAAAUUCAGGUUCGCGUGGUAAUAAAGCUUUUUUUAUGCCAUCACCCUG